CCUACGGGGUGCACCAGUGGGGAAUAUUGCACAAUGGGCGUAAGCCUGAUGCAGCCAUGCCGCGUGUAUGAAGAAGGCCUUCGGGUUGUAAAGUACUUUCAGCGGGGAGGAAGGUGUUGUGGUUAAUAACCGCAGCAAUUGACGUUACCCGCAGAAGAAGCACCGGCUAACUCCGUGCCAGCAGCCGCGGUAAUACGGAGGGUGCAAGCGUUAAUCGGAAUUACUGGGCGUAAAGCGCACGCAGGCGGUCUGUCAAGUCGGAUGUGAAAUCCCCGGGCUCAACCUGGGAACUGCAUUCGAAACUGGCGGGCUAGAGUCUUGUAGAGGGGGGUAGAAUUCCAGGUGUAGCGGUGAAAUGCGUAGAGAUCUGGAGGAAUACCGGUGGCGAAGGCGGCCCCCUGGACAAAGACUGACGCUCAAGUGCGAAAGCGUGGGGAGCAAACAGGAUUAGAUACCCCUGUAGUC
rnacentral:rRNA from 1 species